rnacentral:rRNA from 1 species
UUUAUUAUAAGGAUAACUACGGAAAAGCUGUAGCUAAUACUUGCUUUAUUAUCCUUUGAUUUCUAUCUUUGGAUAAGUAUUUGUUAGGCCUUAUAAGAAAAAAGUUAUUAACUUAAGGAAUUAUAACAAAGAAGUAACACGUAAUAAAUUUAUUUUAUUUAGUGUGUAUCAAUCGAGUAAUGUGUAUCAAUCGAGUAGUGUGUAUCACUCGAGUAGUGUGUAUCAAUCGAGUAGUGUGUAUCAAUCGAGUAGUGUGUAUCACUCGAGUAGUGUGUGUGCC